UUGUGGCCUGUAACUAUUUCUGGCUCCUGGUGGAGGCCAUCUUCCUCCACACGCUACUCUUCACAGCCGUGCUGACCAAGAGAUGUCUGCUCAAGAAAUACAUGCUGCUGGGAUGGGGAACGCCUGUUUUAUUUGUAACACCAUGGAUGGUGGUCAAGAUUUUAUAUGAAAACACAGAAUGCUGGUUGAUGGUGAACAGAUGGUUCUGGUGGAUAAUAAGAGGCCCG